UAAGGAAUAUUGGUCAAUGGACGCAAGUCUGAACCAGCCAUGCCGCGUGAAGGAUGAAGGUCCUCUGGAUUGUAAACUUCUUUUAUCUGGGACGAAAACGGGAUUUUUAUCUCAAUUGACGGUACCAGAGGAAUAAGCACCGGCUAACUCCGUGCCAGCAGCCGCGGUAAUACGGAGGGUGCGAGCGUUGUCCGGAUUUACUGGGUUUAAAGGGUGCGUAGGUGGGCUUAUAAGUCAGUGGUGAAAUCUCCGAGCUUAACUUGGAAACUGCCGUUGAUACUAUAUGUUUUGAAUUAUCUGGAGGCAAGCUGAAUAUGGCAUGCAGCGGUGAAAUGCUUAGAUAUGACA
rnacentral:rRNA from 1 species